GCGGGUAUGGUAUAAGGGUUGUGCCUCGGAUUUCCACUCCGACGAAGUCGAGUUCGAAUCUCGCUACCCGCUCCA
rnacentral:tRNA from 1 species